rnacentral:rRNA from 1 species
CCUACGGGGGGCUGCAGUCGAGAAUAUUCAGCAAUGGACGAAAGUCUGACUAUGCGACGCCGCGUGAGGGAUGAAGGUUUUCGGAUCGUAAACCUCUUUCGAUGAGGACGAAACUCCUCCUAGUAAUAGGAGUGAUGACGGUACUCAGAGAAGAAGCCACGGCUAACUCCGUGCCAGCAGCCGCGGUAAUACGGGGGUGGCGAGCGUUACUCGGAUUUACUGGGUGUAAAGGGCAGGUAGGCGGCCCGGCAAGUUGAAGGUGAAAUCCCUAGACUCAAUCUAGGAACUGCCUUCAAAACUAUCGGGCUUGAAGAUGGAAGAGGAGAGCGGAAUUCCCGGUGUAAGGGUGAAAUCUGUAGAUAUCGGGAGGAACACCUGUGGCGAAAGCGGCUCUCUGGUCCGUCCUUGACGCUAAGGUGCGAAAGCUAGGGGAGCAAACAGGAUUAGAUACCCCGGUAGUC